rnacentral:rRNA from 1 species
CAGUCGUACUAACGGGAAAUCAACCUAUUUGGGUUGUGAAUUUUGGAUUUUGAAGAGUGUAAACCUUUGGGGUUCAAACAUUUGCGCUCUUUAGGCGUAAUUUCUCGUUCGGUAGGUUAACAUCGAUUUUGAAGAUUAUAAAAUGACCGGAGGAAUGUAGCUUCGAUCUCGUAUUGAAGUGUUAUAGCCUUUGGUAGAUGUAAUGAUCAAGAUCGAGGAUUGCAACGAAUACCCUUUUGGGCUAUCCGUCUGAUCUCUGAUACGUUGCCUCGGUAACGAAAGCUUGCUUACGGUAUUGAGGUAUUACGGUCAAAAGGUUAGAACGUGAUUACA